AUUGAACGCUGGCGGCAGGCCUAACACAUGCAAGUCGAGCGUGGGUCGGAAGGGUGAGUAAUGUAUGGGGACUGCCCGGUAGAGGGGGAUAACUACUGGAAACGGUAGCUAAUACCGCAUACUCUCGGAUUACCCCUAAGGGAUUAGCUAGUAGGUGAGGUAAUGGCUCACCUAGGCGACGAUCUCUAGCUGGUCUGAGAGGAUGAUCAGCCACACUGGGACUGAGACACGGCCCAGACUCCUACGGAGGCAGCAGUGGGGAAUAUUGCACAAUGGGCGCAAGCCUGAUACAGCCAUGCCGCGUGUAUGAAGAAGGCCCUAGGGUUGUAAAGCACUUUCAGUAGGGAGGCGUUAUCGACAGAAGAAGCACCGGCUAACUCCGUGCCAGCAGCCGCGGUAAUAC
rnacentral:rRNA from 1 species